rnacentral:rRNA from 1 species
UACGGAGGGUGCGAGCGUUGUCCGGAAUCACUGGGCGUAAAGGGCGCGUAGGCGGCUCGUGAAGUCAGUGGUGAAAGCCCAGGGCUCAACUCUGGGUCGGCCACUGAUACUCGCGAGCUCGAGUUUGGUAGGGGCAGAGGGAAUUUCCGGUGGAGCGGUGAAAUGCGUAGAGAUACGGAAAGAACACCAACGGCGAAAGCAACUCUGCUGGGCCGACACUGACACUGAGAGACGAAAGCUAGGGGAGCGAAUGGG